CCCUUCACCAAACCCACACCACAAGUUGCGCCCAAACACUGGGCUACCAUGUACAACACUGCCCUGAUCAAUGACACUUUCCUUGCCAAGAACAGCCCAAAUGUUACUGCCGGGUUAAUGUGUCCUCUUGUAUUAUUCACAUAUCAGUACUUUAAACAAGUAUGCAAAGGAAACAAUGGGAUAAUAUGUUGUAAAAACUAUUGGAGUAUGAUCACAGAAAAUUCCUUCUACCUUUAACGGCACCAUCCUUAAAAAUAAUUCACUCGGUGUAAGUGUAUUCCUCAAAAAUCAGCAAGCUUGAUCAAUGGCGUACGCAAUAUUUUGUGCAAAAUGUGUCGAUUUUUAAUCACAGUUUUUUAAUCUAACCAUCUAAUAUCCCUUGCCAACUAUAUAACGAUAUAGAUUUGCAUCGCUCAAGACCCAUUUAAACAAAAAGGAUACUCUGCAAAGAAUUUCUUUAUUUUCAAGCACGAGACCCCUGAUUAAAGAUAGAAAAAUGGCAUCCAUCUCACCACAUGCAUUCAUAGUGUCACAAUUCUGUUAAUAAGAGAAUUUGGGUUUGAAUGAGGUUUUAUUUCUUCUUCCAAAUUGAUACACUUUGUAUCAUUUUCACAUAACGUUAGCCACAGAUAUCUAUAAUUCCAAUAUGUAAAAUUAUGGUUUUGAGUUAUGAUUUCUAAUGAAGAUAUUUUUGGAACCAGAAUUACACAACUAAAAUUACUAUUGAUAAGCUAUGCUACUUCGUGUUUUGAUGAUUUGACAAACCUACUUGAGGAACCAGUUAUGUCGUUAGAGGGACCAGGUGCUCGAUCAGGUCCCCUGGGCGUCGUAUAGUCAACUCUACAGCUGCAAAACUGCUGACACUGUAGCAGUGCAGCAUAUACAGCGGUACAGCAGCAGAGUUGCUGCAGGUUGACCAAUGGUCCAAUGUUUAUGACUUGUCCCUCUCACCUUGCCUCUCGUCUUAUAUACACAACAUAUCCUGAGGGAAAUAUUAUUCUUGCUAUAUCCCAAAAUUGUUCAGAUCUUGAGUGCAAGUCUCUACCUAUCAAGGUGUGUUCAAGAACAAAGCUUCAACUAAUCCAAAGACCUGUUCCCUACAACUGAAGAUGUGUUAAGUCCUAGAAGUGUUAAGUUUUUUGUUCCUUUGUUCUAUAACUUGUAAACCUACUCUUCUCAAAAGGAAGCCGUGUGUAGGUAGCUUGAAUUCUCAAAAGUUGUUUGUAGGCUGUUUACCUACUAAAGCUCUUGAGUGGUAUACUUUUCUAGAGGUAGUCAAGGUGUAUUAGUCAGUUUGGCUUGAGGUAGUCAUACUCUGUUGAGUGCUUGGCUAGGGGUAGUCAAGAGUUGUAGCUUACAAUGAAGGUAUUGUAAGGGUGAGGAAUUAAGAGGUUAAUUCCUAGGUUAUAAUAGGUUGUAAUCUGAAAGUUGCUCAGUGUAGUGGAGUUUGAAAUCCUACGAGGUAGGUCGUGAUUUUUAAUCCCUUGAGGAAGGAGUUUUCCACGUAAAUAUUCUGUGUCAUUUACUUUCUGCACUACAUAAGAAAACUGAUGGAUAACUAGGUUCCUUCAUACAUUGUUUGGUGUACGUAUAGCGUUUAACAACUAUUAAAAAAACUGAAAUUAGUAACGGACUAGUUUGUAGCUAAACGGCAAAAUCCGUCAGCAAGGGAAUAUCAAAACAUUCUGUCAGCUAGC